UGUAUACCUGUUUGAACUUUUUGAGUUGUCCUUAGUUUUUGAGUUGUGAUUCAUUACUUUGAUUCACAAUCAUAUCUUUUUCAUAAGGAGAUUGAUUAACUCUGUAUGUUUGGGCUUUGGCUAUAGUCAAAUAUAUUUUCUGGAAUAUCUUUCUGUUUGAUGCUCAAUUCUUUGCUUGUACUGCUUUGUUAGAUCAUAAUUUGCUUUAGUUCAAAGUUUUGAAUACUUUUUGUUAAAAGAAAUUGGAUUUUGAUUUUUUUGCUUUUAGACAUUAUUGGUGUUUUUGAGAGUUAUAUUCUUAUUUAUGUAUAGAGUACUCUCGAUCUCUCUGUCGUCGCACCCUCACCUCACCCUCACUCUCGGUCUGCUCUCUGAUCUCUCCCCGAUCUCUCAGACGCCGAAGCCCAGAAAUUGAAGGAGUAUCUCUUGGAAAUUCGGUCACUGGUAUAAUAUAAUUUUGUGGCAUCAAGAUGUCAGCAGAUGUGGCUAGAGCUCACGGUGGAGACGCUGGCGGUGAUCCUCCACCGGAUCCUACUAGGAUCCCGACUACAUGCGA